rnacentral:rRNA from 1 species
UGCUUACACAUGCAGUCCAACGGCAGCACGGGAGCAUCCUGGUGGCGAGUGGCGAACGGGUGAGUAAUACAUCGGAACGUGCCCUGUCGUGGGGGAUAACUAGUCGAAAGAUUAGCUAAUACCGCAUACGACCUGAGGGUGAAAGCGGGGGACCGUAAGGCCUCGCGCGAUAGGAGCGGCCGAUGUCUGAUUAGCUAGUUGGUGGGGUAAAGGCCCACCAAGGCGACGAUCAGUAGCUGGUCUGAGAGGACGAUCAGCCGCACUGGGACUGAGACACGGCCCAUACUCCUACGGGAGGCAGCAAUGGGGAAUUUUGGACAAUGGGGGCAACCCUGAUCCAGCAAUGCCGAGUGUGUGAAGAAGGCCUUCUGGGUUGUAAAGCGCUUUUGUCCGGAAAGAAAUCCCUUGCCCUAAUACGGCGGGGGGAUGACGGUACCGGAAGAAUAAGCACCGGCUAACUACGUGCCAGCAGCCGCGGUAAUACGUAGGGUGCGAGCGUUAAUCGGAAUUACUGGGCGUAAAGCGUGCGCAGGCGGUUUUGUAAGACAGGCGUGAAAUCCCCGAGCUCAACUUGGGAAUGGCGCUUGUGACUGCAAGGCUAGAGUAUGUCAGAGGGGGGUAGAAUUCCACGUGUAGCAGUGAAAUGCGUAGAGAUGUGGAGGAAUACCGAUGGCGAAGGCAGCCCCCUGGGACGUCACUGACGCUCAUGCACGAAAGCGUGGGGAGCAAACAGGAUUAGAUACCCUGGUAGUCCACGCCCUAAACGAUGUCAACUAGUUGUUGGGGAUUCAUUUCUUCAGUAACGUAGCUAACGCGUGAAGUUGACCGCCUGGGGAGUACGGUCGCAAGAUUAAAACUCAAAGGAAUUGACGGGGACCCGCACAAGCGGUGGAUGAUGUGGAUUAAUUCGAUGCAACGCGAAAAACCUUACCUACCCUUGACAUGC